UACGAAGGGGGCUAGCGUUGCUCGGAAUCACUGGGCGUAAAGGGUGCGUAGGCGGGUCUUUUAAGUCAGGGGUGAAAUCCUGGAGCUCAACUCCAGAACUGCCUUUGAUACUGAAGAUCUUGAGUUCGGGAGAGGUGAGUGGAACUGCGAGUGUAGAGGUGAAAUUCGUAGAUAUUCGCAAGAACACCAGUGGCGAAGGCGGCUCACUGGCCCGAUACUGACGCUGAGGCACGAAAGCGUGGGGAGCAAA
rnacentral:rRNA from 1 species